rnacentral:rRNA from 1 species
ACAGCUCAAAUUUGAAAUCUGGCCUUCUGGUCCGAGUUGUAAUUUGUAGAAGAUGCUUUUGGUGCGGUGCCUUCCGAGUUCCCUGGAACGGGACGCCUUAGAGGGUGAGAGCCCCGUACGGUUGGACGCCUAGCCUCUGUAAAGCUCUUUCAACGAGUCGAGUAGUUUGGGAAUGCUGCUCAAAAUGGGAGGUAAAUUUCUUCUAAAGCUAAAUAUUGGCCAGAGACCGAUA